rnacentral:rRNA from 1 species
GGGGAAGGGUAGCUUGCUACCUGACCUAGCGGCGGACGGGUGAGUAAUGCUUAGGAAUCUGCCUAUUAGUGGGGGACAACAUUCCGAAAGGAAUGCUAAUACCGCAUACGCCCUACGGGGGAAAGCAGGGGAUCUUCGGACCUUGCGCUAAUAGAUGAGCCUAAGUCAGAUUAGCUAGUUGGUGGGGUAAAGGCCUACCAAGGCGACGAUCUGUAGCGGGUCUGAGAGGAUGAUCCGCCACACUGGGACUGAGACACGGCCCAGACUCCUACGGGAGGCAGCAGUGGGGAAUAUUGGACAAUGGGCGAAAGCCUGAUCCAGCCAUGCCGCGUGUGUGAAGAAGGCCUUUUGGUUGUAAAGCACUUUAAGCGAGGAGGAGGCUACUGAGAUUAAUACUCUUGGAUAGGGGACGUUACUCCCAGAAUAAGCACCGGCUAACUCUGUGCCAGCAGCCGCGGUAAUACAGAAGGUGCCAGCGUUAAUCGGAUUUACUGGGCCUA